CCUACGGGAGGCAGCAGUGGGGAAUAUUGGGCAAUGGAGGAAACUCUGACCCAGCGACGCCGCGUGCGGGAUGAAGGCCUUCGGGUUGUAAACCGCUUUCAGUAGGGAAGAAGCGAAAGUGACGGUACCUACAGAAGAAGCACCGGCUAACUAUGUGCCAGCAGCCGCGGUAAUACAUAGGGUGCAAGCGUUGUCCGGAAUUAUUGGGCGUAAAGAGCUCGUAGGUGGUUCGUCACGUCGGAUGUGAAAAUCUGGGGCUCAACCCCAGACCUGCAUUCGAUACGGGCGAUCUAGAGUGUGGUAGGGGAGACUGGAAUUCCUGGUGUAGCGGUGGAAUGCGCAGAUAUCAGGAGGAACACCAAUGGCGAAGGCAGGUCUCUGGGCCAUUACUGACACUGAGGAGCGAAAGCGUGGGGAGCGAACAGGAUUAGAUACCCUGGUAGUCCACGCCGUAAACGGUGGGCACUAGUUGUGGGAACCUUCCACGGUUUCUGCGACGCAGCUACGCAUAAGUAGCCCGCCCGUCGGGAGGUACGAGUCGCGAGAGUUAAACGUAACGUAAAGGUAAAGUUAGUUACGGCGUGAGACGUGCCGACGGCGACGACGAGGGAGGAGG
rnacentral:rRNA from 1 species